rnacentral:rRNA from 1 species
UACGGAGGAUGCAAGCGUUAUCCGGAUUUAUUAGGUUUAAAGGGUGUGUAGGCGGACUUUUAAGUCAGCGGUGAAAUACCACAGCUUAACUGUGGAACUGCCAUUGAUACUGAGGGUCUUGAAUACAGAUGAUGUAGGCGGAAUGUGUAAUGUAGCGGUGAAAUGCAUAGAUAUUACACAGAACACCGAUUGCGAAGGCAGCUUACAAAACUGUGAUUGACGCUGAGGCACGAAAGCGUGGGGAUCAAACAGG